rnacentral:misc_RNA from 1 species
AAAGUCGUAACAAGGUUUCCGUAGGUGAACCUGCGGAAGGAUCAUUAACAAAUCUUAUUGAGGGCCUAACGGCUCAUCAACCUUUGUGAAUCGACUUGCCGUAAAAAGCAAGUUAGUUGGGUGCGGGAACAAGUAUAGAGAGUAACGGAACCUUGGUUCCAAUACCCCCUAUGCUUAUAAUAUAGUCUAAUUACAAUUGGAUUUCGAAAGAUUUCUAGUAACUUUACAACUUUUAACAAUGGAUCUCUAGGCUCUU